rnacentral:misc_RNA from 1 species
CUUGCCGUUCUUUCUAGUCUCUCCCUCUGUCCACAGCCCCACCCCUCACAGCCCCAAACCCUAGACCUCUCCUUCUCUAUCCAUCUCUUUCUUCAGUUUUAUCAUCUAGAUUUUAAUUUUCCGUCCGAAUUUUCCCGACAAAAUUGAAAGGAAAAGAAGUAAUUAGUGGAAUUGAAAAAGAUUUCCCGGAGGAGAGAAUUGUGGAAAUGGCGACAUCUUCUAUCACCAGCACGGUGUAUAUCCACGUCAUCGAAGACGUCAUCAACAAGGUACGCGAUGAGUUCAUCAGCAACGGCGGGCCUGGCGAGAGUGUCCUCA